CAAAUUUUUCUGACUAGGUCUUCAAGACACCCACUCCCUACUUCCUGGCCAACUCAAUUUGACUUCAAUGCUUUCAAUAAAGAGACCUGGUGGUGUGAGGGGAGCGUGUGAUGUGGUCAUGCAAGGAAGGACUGGAUGAUCCUACACCCAUCCUGGAGGCCUCACCACCCCUCACUCUACCCUCAGAAGGAGGAACAAGAAUGCUAGAUGACAGAGAAGUCCUCAACUGAGCCUCAGAGGGACUGGUCAGGGGUUUGGAUGCAUUGGGGUCGUUGGGCCUUGCAGACCCACUACUGGAGCUAACCUUGGACAAUCCUGACUUGCCCUCCAGACGUAUGCGAGCCUCAGAUUCAGAUUCCAGCACAGCAAGACCCUUUCCUUCCUUCACCCGGAGACGUCCUUCACUGCCCAUGCCUGAAAGCAUCAUCAUAUAUCAAAAUAGAAAAAUUGUACAUUAUGGUGACUUUUCCAUGUAAGUGAUUUUAAGUCCUCCACAAAUAUGAAAAUAACAAGAUAUCAGUGAUGCUAAUUAAGAACAAGAUAUCAGUGAUGCUAAUUAAGAAGUCUAAAAACUGGGGUGUUACUGGAAAUAAUAGGGACUGGUGACUGAUUCAAAGGUUUGGAGUUGCCACAAAAUACUCUGAAAUAAAGACAUGAACAUUC